UUGUCGAUACCUGUCCAAAACAGAACGACCCGCGAACCAACGAUCACCACUCUCGGUGGGCCGGUUUCUUAGCUGAUCCCGUGCCUUCCGAAUCCGUGGUUUCGCGUACUGUCCUAGUUGGGUCAUGCGCGUAGCUUCCGGAUAUCACAAAACCACGGCACGAAAAGUGUCAAGGAACAUGCAACCGAACGGCCAGCCUUCGCCUCCCCGGAGACGGUGUGAGUGCGGAUGCUGCGCUGCGAUAUUAAGUCUAAAACGACUCUCGGCAACGGAUAUCUCGGCUCUCGCAUCGAUGAAGAACGUAGCGAAAUGCGAUACUUGGUGUGAAUUGCAGAAUCCCGUGAACCAUCGAGUCUUUGAACGCAAGUUGCGCCCCAAGCCUUCUGGCCGAGGGCACGUCUGCCUGGGUGUCACAAACCGUCGUCCCAUCCUCAUCCUUUGCGGAUUCGGGACGGAAGCUGGUCUCCCGUGUGUUACCGCAUGCGGUUGGCCAAAAUCCGAGCAAAGGACGCUUGGAGCGUCCCGACAUGCGGUGGCGAAUUAAAGCCUCUUCACAUUGUCGGUCGUUCCUUGUCUGGAUGCUCUAGAUGACCCAAAGUCUUCAAAGCGACCCCA
rnacentral:rRNA from 1 species